GACGAACCGUGCGAACGUUGUUCGGAAUCACUGGGCUUAAAGGGCGCGUAGGCGGGUUGUCAAGUCGGGGGUGAAAUCGUUCGGCCCAACCGGACAAGGGCCCCCGAUACUGGCAGUCUCGAGGGAGGUAGGGGUCGGUGGAACUUCCGGUGGAGCGGUGAAAUGCGUAGAUAUCGGAAGGAACGCCGGUGGCGAAAGCGGCCGACUGGACCUCUUCUGACGCUGAUGCGCGAAAGCUAGGGGAGCGAACGGG
rnacentral:rRNA from 1 species